rnacentral:rRNA from 1 species
UCCCAGACUCCUACGGGAGGCAGCAGUGGGGAAUAUUGCACAAUGGGGGGAACCCUGAUGCAGCGACGCCGCGUGGGUGAAGGAGUAUUUCGGUAUGUAAAGCCCUAUCAGCAGGGAAGAACAAUGACGGUACCUGACUAAGAAGCCCCGGCUAACUACGUGCCAGCAGCCGCGGUAAUACGUAGGGGGCAAGCGUUAUCCGGAUUCACUGGGUGUAAAGGGAGCGUAGACGGCGACGCAAGUCUGGAGUGAAAGCCCGGGGCCCAACCCCGGGACUGCUCUGGAAACUGCGUCGCUGGAGUACGGGAGGGGCAGGCGGAAUUCCUGGUGUGGCGGUGAAAUGCGUAGAUAUCAGGAGGAACACCGGCGGCGAAGGCGGCCUGCUGGACCGUGACUGACGUUGAGGCUCGAGAGCGUGGGGAGCAAACAGGAUUAGAUACCCCAGUAC